rnacentral:piRNA from 1 species
UGGGAAUGAUAAAUGAAUGAA